ACAGAGGGUGCAAACGUUGUUCGGAAUUACUGGGCGUAAAGCGUGUGUAGGCGGCUACUCAAGUCGGGUGUGAAAGCCCCGGGCUCAACCCGGGAAGUGCACUCGAUACUGGGCAGCUUGAGUCUUGGAGAGGUUGGUGGAAUUCUCGGUGUAGAGGUGAAAUUCGUAGAUAUCGAGAGGAACAUCGGUGGCGAAGGCGGCCAACUGGACAAAGACUGACGCUGAUGCGCGAAAGCUAGGGGAGCAAACGGGA
rnacentral:rRNA from 1 species